ensembl:lncRNA
AGAGGAGAGAGAGAGAGAGAGAGGGAAGAGAGAGAGAGAGAGAGGGAAGAGAGAGAGAGAGGGAGAGAGAGAGAGAGAGAGAGAGAGAGAGAGAGAGAGAGAGGGAAGAGAGAGAGAGAGAGAGAGGGACGAGAGAGAGAGGGGGAAGAGAGAGAGAGAGGGACGAGAGAGAGAGAGGGACGAGAGAGUUAAAGUUAGAGGGAAGAGAGAGAGAGAGAGCGAGAGGGAAGAGAGAGAUAGCGAGAGGGAAGAGAGAGAUAGCGAGAGGGAAGAGAGAGAUAGCGAGAGGGAAGAGAGAGAGAGCGAGAGAGGUGAGUGAGAGAGAGAGGGGGAAGAG